UAAGCGGAGGAAAAGAAACUAACAAGGAUUCCCCUAGUAACGGCGAGUGAAGCGGGAAGAGCUCAAAUUUGAAAUCUGGUAGCCUUCGGUUGCCCGAGUUGUAAUCUAGAGAAGUGUUUUCCGUGCCGGCCCAUGUACAAGUCCCUUGGAACAGGGCGUCAUAGAGGGUGAGAAUCCCGUCCUUGACAUGGACCCCCGGUGCUUUGUGAUACACUUUCAACGAGUCGAGUUGUUUGGGAAUGCAGCUCAAAAUGGGUGGUGAAUUCCAUCUAAAGCUAAAUAUUGGCGAGAGACCGAUAGCGAACAAGUACCGUGAGGGAAAGAUGAAAAGCACUUUGGAAAGAGAGUUAAACAGUACGUGAAAUUGUUGAAAGGGAAACGAUUGAAGUCAGUCAUGCUCUUGGGACUUACCUCCCUUGAGUGGGGUCAACAUCAGUUUUGAUCGAUGGAUAAAGGCACGGGGAAGGUAGCACUCUCGGGUGAACUUAUAGCCUCGCGUCAUAUACAUUGAUUGGGACUGAGGAACGCAGCAUGCCUUAUGGCCGGGAUUCGUCCACGUACAUGCUUAGGAUGUUGACAUAAUGGCUUUAAACGACCCGUCUUGAAACAC
rnacentral:rRNA from 1 species